ACACUUUUAUUAGAUUUUGAAAAUCUUAAACGCCUUACGCAAUGUGUU
rnacentral:tRNA from 1 species